CGGGGGUGGGAAGGGCUCGGGAGGUUAGCGCUUGGAGUAGGGCUCGGCGGCUUUCCGGGCUCUCCGCAUCCGCCGGUGUGGUCUGUAGAUGGAGCGCAUUCUUACACCUGCGUGCAAAGCCGGAGCUACGGCAUGAUCCGAGCUCUUGCUUAGUGCAGCUCCCGUGUGACCCGGGGGAGGGCGGGGAGGAGACGGGGCUGGCAGGGAGCCGGUGCUUGGCGGUAAAGUGCGAUGAAAGUAGGUGAAAGCAACCGGAACAGUGUUCUGGCUUGUUUCUUCAUUUUCCCUCGUCAUCUGCUCUCCUGCCCCGGUGUAUGUAGGAGCGCAGAUGUGCUGUUGAAUUACAGGGAGGUUCAAAGCGUCUAGCUUUGCGUUUGAAUGUUGUGAAAGUUGCUACGACCCGAGCUGUGAGUGGAGGGCAUUGCUGAAUUCACGUCAGUCAGCCAGUGCUCCCAAAACUGGCCUGGAAGGUGCAGAGCGUCCCUUGGUGAAGCCCGUGCAGGGGAGGAAGAAGCGGUCUGUGAGUGCAACAUCCAAAAGCGGAUCAAUUUUGUGGGACAUGGCACAAGGAAAUAAUUAUGGGCAAAGCAGCAAUGGGGUGGCUGAUGAAUCCCCAAACAUGCUGGUGUACAGAAAGAGUCCAUUCCAGUCAGCAAUUAAAAGAGGUAAGAGACUGAAAUCCAUAGCAUUUUAACAUCACAAAUUGCUCAUGCAGAAAUCUCAUAUUUUGGCAACACUAACUUGCUGCUGCAAGCUUGGUCUUAGGGAAGAAACUUGAGAUGUAGUAGUGUAGUAGAAGGCCCAUACUUUGACGUUUUUCUAAGUUUCAGAGACUAACCCGCCUUUUAAAUUUUAAAUUUCUGUACACAAUUAAAAGAAUAAGAGUUUCCUGUUAGAAACUUCUAUUCCAGACCUACUGCUGGUCUUGCUAAACCUUACUUCAUCUUUCUGGUCUGUGCUUUGCUUACUUUUUCAGUCAAACAUAUGCUGCAACUAUUAGGAGUUCUGAUUUACAAGUUUAAUUGUUAUUGUACUGUUGCCUGAACUAGCUUCAUUUGAGAGCUGAUAACUUUAUUUUGUAGCAAUAAGGUUAUCCUUGUCUGAAAGGUAAUAUUCUUGUGGGUGAGAUUUUGGCUCUCUGCCUUCCUCACUGCCCAGGUAUUAAAAUAGCUUUUGCCAAGUCUGAUUAAAAUCACUGACAGUGGGGCUUUCAGGGUUCUAAUAAAGAUAAUGAUGUGUUUGUUCUGUUUCUGUGA
rnacentral:lncRNA from 1 species